ensembl:misc_RNA predicted gene, 27803
GAACAGGCCUUUGAAUCAGAAAGCCAGAUCUUUUUGCAAAAUAAUUCAAACUUUCUUGACUCUUCACCCUUCCCUCGGGACCCCUCUUUCUGGACUCUAUGCAUUCCAGUUGC